rnacentral:sRNA from 2 species
CUAUUAAAUAGGCCGAAUCUCCGUCAACCGGAGUACGGGGGACUAAUUUUUCUGGGGUGAAUCCGCAAACCUUGUUUUGGAGGUGUUUAAAACAGGUGCGGUAGGGUAACCUUCCAACCCGAACCCGACAACUAACCUCGAAGGCCAGAAGGAGGGUAUAG